CCUGCAUGCAAAAAAAAGAACAAAGAGUGAGUCCACUCUUUCAGUUAGAAUUGUUUUACUACAAGACGUUCAAGCAGCUCCAUCUAGAAACUGCUUUACAACAUCUAUUUGGGGAGAUGGGAUUUUUCCUCUUCUUCCAGGACAUUAGCACACAUUUAACCAAGUUGGCUCCUCUGUGCACUAUCACCAUAAAUACUUAUAGACUAGACAAGAGAAGGGAUGAUGCAGCCUAGAGAUGUGAUUUACAAUCUCACACUGUGGUGUUUGAAGAGUUUCUAAUUAAUAUAGGCCAUUUUAUAACUGACAUUCGUGACUUCAUUAUCAAAACUGUUUCUGCAUAUGAAGUUACUGUACAUAACAAGGGACUGCUCCUCGAACACAUGGGAAAGAUUCAUACAAGAUAUCCCAUUGAGUUGUCUCAUGCAGAGACUUCACCUGCGUGCUCCAACUGCAUGGAGAAAGUAAUGCCUGAAGCAAGAAUCCAACCCUGAUGCCAGGUAUUAACUUUCUCUAUCAAUUAAAAUUGCUGUGGGAUUAGUUCAGGGAAAUGGAGGGUGAUUCUGCCCACCUAUAUCAGCCAGCUUAUAUUUAUGUUACUAGCACCUUUAUCUUACAAAUCUAGAGUGCAGCUGGGGCACAAAGAAAGUCACUGAUCCUUCUGUAUAAAAAAACCAUAGUAUAUGACUAGCAAAAAUGCUGAGUCCCAGCCUGAAGCAGUGAUGGAGCACCUGGUGGAAGGCAGGGCCAGCUCAGGAGAGCUCAGGUGUAUACAAUGCUCCUGAGUGAUUGGAAGGGGUGGAACCAGGAUCCAGCCCUUCCCAAACCUCAUUUAAGGGUUGGCAGUGGAAGCGAGGGGAUUCUGCUGGAGAUCCCUGCAUACCUGAAGCCUUCCAAAGCUCCCAGAUCAACCUUCAGGAAAGGAUCAUUGAAUAUACUUACCCUGAGGGGGCCGUGUAUGCUCCUGCUUUGAGAUGAGCCACUUGUGAACAGAGAAAUCAUCAGCUCCAGUAUAAAUAGAAUCUGAGUCCACUGGUGACCACUGGACACACAGCAGCCGGCCCUGGUGCCCUCGGUAGUUGCAGAGUGGCUCUUCCUUCAUAACAUCCCAUACCUUAUGAUCAAGAAAGAAACUUUAUUACUUAAUCUCCUCCAGGUGUGAAACUCUAUGCUUCCUGUUUAGCAAUUUACAUUUGUAGGAGCUUGUCUUCUAUUGAGUUUGCAGAGCUAUUUCAAUAACAAGCAAGCAGACGGAGAAAACUCAGAAAGCUUUCUUUGUAUGUACCAAUAAGCCAGCUUAAUGUCUUUCUUAAGAAUCCAAAAAUGCUACUGGACUUACAAAUCAAACUGCAAGGCACAAAACCAUACUUACUGCUCAGCUUCCCUCUGUUCAUUCCCUCUGUUCAUUCAUUCAACCUAAAAGUGUUCUUUGCAAUAUUCUCAUUUGUGCAGUGUGUUGGAAAAGCAGGAAUAAGCCAAAAGAAAAAAGUAUACCUCUGUAUCAGGUAUCCAGUGUGAGAUUGUUGCCAAGGGUAAAUAUGCAGUAGUUAAGCAGCUGAACUCAGAAAAGCUUUCUUGUUCAGUUGGCUUGCUUUUAAAAUACUGCAGAAAGGAUGACUUGAAAUUAAAAGAAAUACUCUUCUGAGUGGUUGUAGAGAAGUACCUGUGCAGUGCCAUCAUAGCAAGCUGAUACCAAUCUUCCCUCGUGGUGGGGGCUCCAAGAAAGGCUUGUGACUUUUGCUGUGUGUCCCGCCAGAGUUCGAAAAGGUUCUGUUAUUGUCAAAGGACUUUCUGAAGUGCUCUCUGAAAGAAGAAAUAAAAGGAUAAGCUACGGCUAGCAAUGCAAACCAAGAGGAAAGCAAAACAAGAUGCCAAGACAUGGGAUAGAAUCUGCAAACCAUUACCUACAACACUCUUCAGAUUAUGCACAUAGAUAACGGCAUUGACUGAGCCUGAAGCAAUCAAGUAACUCAACUCUGGAUCACUCCCAUGCUCAUGAUGCCAUCGGAUAGCAUUAAUCAAUUUGUGAUGCUGCUGGAUAGUGCAGAGCAACUUCAAGCUCGGAGCCUGAAAUAUUUCAAUUGACCUGAAAUGCAAGAAUAACAGUGUUAGAAAUACUCCAGUCAGUGAAAAUGUGAUUUUGUUUUUCUUGUCCUGAAUGAUGGUCUAUGAAACGAAAUGAGAUUUUCUGUUCUGGAUCCAAGUCGCAUUCCAAUUUAGUACUUAGAGAAAGUGUAUUUCAGCUGUGUGUAGAUCCUUGAAAAAAUGAUGUAAUGUGAUAUAGAUCCUCCAUGCCAAGAGCAACUUAAUGAAAUACCAGCAAAGAAUAUUGUAUUAUCACAAUUCAGAUACAUAGGCAAUGAAAGUUAAGAACCAAACCAGGACAACAAAAAGUACUUUUGCAUCAAAACACUGACUCCUGUAGGUUAAGGCUGUGUAUGCACCAAUCCUGACAACGAAACAUACCCAUCUUCAUUGCCAAGGGCCAAGAGUUUACCAUCUGGUUUCCAGCUGAUCUCUGUAUGUGCAGGUAGUUUGUGCUGUGGAGAGAAGAUGCAGCUAUUACCAGCCAUCACACAAACUCUUAGGUCUCUCUUGAAUACAUCAACAGAACACAACUGGCAACUAGGAAUUACAAUUAGUCUGCAAAACAAAAGCCACCCAAGUGUCUGCUGCAUUUUGUAGUAGUGACAUAAGUUUGGGCAAUUGAGGACUGAAUGAACUGCAAGAUGAUGGAAGAAUCACUGGCUACAUCCAGCGCAGUGGAACGUGUCAAAUGAAAUGUCUUGAUUCCAAAAGGACCUUGUUGUUCCACCUCCUUAUGCUCCUUAGUAAGUUCUGCAUGUUCCAAGAAACUUCAAAAGCCUACAACUAUGGGCUACAGAACUAUAACCACAAAUCCAUAGAAAAAGGCAAGAAUCAUACUCACUUUAAUUGAAUUAGUGUCUCUGAUGGUUUUGUUGAUGUCAUUUGCCUCUCCACUAAGUUUCCAAGGGUUGUGUUGAAAAACAAUACCUUCUCCAGCACAACUAUAUAAAGUUACAGAGGGAUGUUCACCUUCUUCUCCUACUCAACAGAGGAAAAAAAAAUCUAAGUAUACUAUGCUCUUCGUCAGUCUUAGGAAAAGCAAUUAUUCUUACUAUAAAUCAAAACAGUAUUUUAAAAUGCUGUAUGUAUGCUUUGAUUCUCUGAGAUCUGGCAGCAAGAAAUUCUCAAAAUACAAUUCCCUAAAAGGACCCCUCAUUCAUUCUCCAUAGCACAAUUGCUGCACACAUUAAAACUCCCUUUAAAUCCUGGCCAAUAAACCCCCCCAGGUUGCAUAAAAGACAAAUGGAGCUGUUCUGUUUAGUUUUAAUGACAGAAAAACAGUUAGAGCUAAAUAAUCUGUACUUGAUCCUAACCAAUUAUUGUGGAGAGCCUACAUAGCUAUUUCAGCGCAUUACAAACAUGUAACUAUGUGGUGUUGUGCUCUACUCCCAUCCACUUCCCGAACCUUUCAAAAUACAGAACAGAUUAUUUUGCUCCCUUGGCAAAACUGUUACCAGUUUCUCAGGCAGAACGCAUCCUUAGUGGAUAGAAAGGACUGCUACCAAGCAGAUGGAGCUCACAUCCAUAAGGAAGGGAAGCACACCAACUUUGUGGCAUCUGUGUGCUCUGUAUGGAUUUCUACUUUGUAACAAGACAUUAUAACACUCACCAGAAGAUAGUGGAGGAGUUGGAGGUCCCCAGGCUAAUGUGUAUACAGUCUUCUUGUGGUAAGUACUGGAGAUCUGUGGGGGCUUAUUCUUAGCACUGUGCAGGAAGGUAAGGAAACAGGAGUAGUCUGAUUGCAGCAAGGGGAAAUACAGAAUAAAACCCCUAACAAAACCAAACUGAAACUAAACCAAAUCCAAAACAAGCAAAAAAAAAAAAAAACCCAAAA